AGCGUACACGGUGGAUGCCCUGGCAGUCAGAGGCGAUGAAGGACGUGCUAAUCUGCGAUAAGCGUCGGUAAGGUGAUAUGAACCGUUAUAACCGGCGAUUUCCGAAUGGGGAAACCCAGUGUGUUUCGACACACUAUCAUUAACUGAAUCCAUAGGUUAAUGAGGCGAACCGGGGGAACUGAAACAUCUAAGUACCCCGAGGAAAAGAAAUCAACCGAGAUUCCCCCAGUAGCGGCGAGCGAACGGGGAGCAGCCCAGAGCCUGAAUCAGUGUGUGUGUUAGUGGAAGCGUCUGGAAAGGCGCGCGAUACAGGGUGACAGCCCCGUACACAAAAAUGCACAUAUUGUGAGCUCGAUGAGUAGGGCGGGACACGUGGUAUCCUGUCUGAAUAUGGGGGGACCAUCCUCCAAGGCUAAAUACUCCUGACUGACCGAUAGUGAACCAGUACCGUGAGGGAAAGGCGAAAAGAACCCCGGCGAGGGGAGUGAAAAAGAACCUGAAACCGUGUACGUACAAGCAGUGGGAGCACGCUUAGGCGUGUGACUGCGUACCUUUUGUAUAAUGGGUCAGCGACUUAUAUUCUGUAGCAAGGUUAACCGAAUAGGGGAGCCGAAGGGAAACCGAGUCUUAACUGGGCGUUAAGUUGCAGGGUAUAGACCCGAAACCCGGUGAUCUAGCCAUGGGCAGGUUGAAGGUUGGGUAACACUAACUGGAGGACCGAACCGACUAAUGUUGAAAAAUUAGCGGAUGACUUGUGGCUGGGGGUGAAAGGCCAAUCAAACCGGGAGAUAGCUGGUUCUCCCCGAAAGCUAUUUAGGUAGCGCCUCGUGAAUUCAUCUCCGGGGGUAGAGCACUGUUUCGGCAAGGGGGUCAUCCCGACUUACCAACCCGAUGCAAACUGCGAAUACCGGAGAAUGUUAUCACGGGAGACACACGGCGGGUGCUAACGUCCGUCGUGAAGAGGGAAACAACCCAGACCGCCAGCUAAGGUCCCAAAGUCAUGGUUAAGUGGGAAACGAUGUGGGAAGGCCCAGACAGCCAGGAUGUUGGCUUAGAAGCAGCCAUCAUUUAAAGAAAGCGUAAUAGCUCACUGGUCGAGUCGGCCUGCGCGGAAGAUGUAACGGGGCUAAACCAUGCACCGAAGCUGCGGCAGCGACACUGUGUGUUGUUGGGUAGGGGAGCGUUCUGUAAGCCUGUGAAGGUGUGCUGUGAGGCAUGCUGGAGGUAUCAGAAGUGCGAAUGCUGACAUAAGUAACGAUAAAGCGGGUGAAAAGCCCGCUCGCCGGAAGACCAAGGGUUCCUGUCCAACGUUAAUCGGGGCAGGGUGAGUCGACCCCUAAGGCGAGGCCGAAAGGCGUAGUCGAUGGGAAACAGGUUAAUAUUCCUGUACUUGGUGUUACUGCGAAGGGGGGACGGAGAAGGCUAUGUUGGCCGGGCGACGGUUGUCCCGGUUUAAGCGUGUAGGCUGGUUUUCCAGGCAAAUCCGGAAAAUCAAGGCUGAGGCGUGAUGACGAGGCACUACGGUGCUGAAGCAACAAAUGCCCUGCUUCCAGGAAAAGCCUCUAAGCAUCAGGUAACAUCAAAUCGUACCCCAAACCGACACAGGUGGUCAGGUAGAGAAUACCAAGGCGCUUGAGAGAACUCGGGUGAAGGAACUAGGCAAAAUGGUGCCGUAACUUCGGGAGAAGGCACGCUGAUAUGUAGGUGAAGCGACUUGCUCGUGGAGCUGAAAUCAGUCGAAGAUACCAGCUGGCUGCAACUGUUUAUUAAAAACACAGCACUGUGCAAACACGAAAGUGGACGUAUACGGUGUGACGCCUGCCCGGUGCCGGAAGGUUAAUUGAUGGGGUCAGCGCAAGCGAAGCUCUUGAUCGAAGCCCCGGUAAACGGCGGCCGUAACUAUAACGGUCCUAAGGUAGCGAAAUUCCUUGUCGGGUAAGUUCCGACCUGCACGAAUGGCGUAAUGAUGGCCAGGCUGUCUCCACCCGAGACUCAGUGAAAUUGAACUCGCUGUGAAGAUGCAGUGUACCCGCGGCAAGACGGAAAGACCCCGUGAACCUUUACUAUAGCUUGACACUGAACAUUGAGCCUUGAUGUGUAGGAUAGGUGGGAGGCUUAGAAGUGUGGACGCCAGUCUGCAUGGAGCCGACCUUGAAAUACCACCCUUUAAUGUUUGAUGUUCUAACGUUGACCCGUAAUCCGGGUUGCGGACAGUGUCUGGUGGGUAGUUUGACUGGGGCGGUCUCCUCCUAAAGAGUAACGGAGGAGCACGAAGGUUGGCUAAUCCUGGUCGGACAUCAGGAGGUUAGUGCAAUGGCAUAAGCCAGCUUGACUGCGAGCGUGACGGCGCGAGCAGGUGCGAAAGCAGGUCAUAGUGAUCCGGUGGUUCUGAAUGGAAGGGCCAUCGCUCAACGGAUAAAAGGUACUCCGGGGAUAACAGGCUGAUACCGCCCAAGAGUUCAUAUCGACGGCGGUGUUUGGCACCUCGAUGUCGGCUCAUCACAUCCUGGGGCUGAAGUAGGUCCCAAGGGUAUGGCUGUUCGCCAUUUAAAGUGGUACGCGAGCUGGGUUUAGAACGUCGUGAGACAGUUCGGUCCCUAUCUGCCGUGGGCGCUGGAGAACUGAGGGGGGCUGCUCCUAGUACGAGAGGACCGGAGUGGACGCAUCACUGGUGUUCGGGUUGUCAUGCCAAUGGCACUGCCCGGUAGCUAAAUGCGGAAGAGAUAAGUGCUGAAAGCAUCUAAGCACGAAACUUGCCCCGAGAUGAGUUCUCCCUGACCCUUUAAGGGUCCUGAAGGAACGUUGAAGACGACGACGUUGAUAGGCCGGGUGUGUAAGCGCAGCGAUGCGUUGAGCUAACCGGUACUAAUGAACCGUGAGGCUUAACC
rnacentral:rRNA from 1 species